AAUUCUCAAUCUCUACAAACUUGUGUUGUUAGUAGAUUGGAGGUGGGGGUUUUGUGGGCGUAUCUUGUGUAUACCCACUCCUCUGAAAACCAUUAGCUGGAAUGCCUUUGCAAAACCAACUAUCAGUAUGAUAAUUAUCUACUCUGAUGUUGUUGUAAAGGGAAUCUGCUUUCAAACCGUCGUUAUGACACUUUGAAUCC
rnacentral:misc_RNA from 1 species